CUUGAAAUGGGCUGAGUCCCUCUUGCUCACCCUUGACUUGGAAAAACCAGUUUCUCUUUUAUUGUCUGUUACUAAUCUCUAUUCUAAAAAUUCAGCUCAAUUCUCAACCAUACUCCAAACUCUCUCUUUUCCAGCUACCUUUACUCCCUCUCCUUCAAUUCCACUUUCCUCUGCUUACUUUUUUUUUUUUUCUGACAGGGUCUCACUUUGUCGCCCGGGCAGGAGUGCAGUGGCUCAAUCUUGGGCUCACUGCAGCCUCAACCUCCCAGAGGCGGGGUUUCACCAUGUUGCCCAGACUGGUCUUGAACUCCUGAGCUUAAGCAAUCCACCUGCCUCGGCCUCCCAAAGUGUUGGGAUCACAGGCGUGAGCCACCGCAUCCGGCCUCAUGUUCUUUUUCAUUAAAGAGAGAAAUCAACUAUUCAGGACCGGCCCCCACCUUUCCUCAGGAGUCAUUUCUGUUCCGCACAGGCCUGCUGAACUGGGUGCUUUAUAUAGGAUUUCAGUGGAGUGAAGUUCAGGAGGCAUGGAGCUGACAACCAUGAGGCCUCGGCAGCCACCGCCACCACCGCCGCCGCCACCACCGUAGCAGCAGCAGCAGCAGCAGCAGCAGCAGCAGCAGCAGCAAGAGUAACUCUGACUUAGGAAUAGAGACAGCCAGAGAGAAAUGUGAUCAAUGAAGGAGACAUCUGGAGUGUGCGUGCUUCUUCAGAGGGACGGGUGAUGGGCAGAUUGGAAAAAGCACCGCAGAUGGGAACCUUAAUCUUUCUUUUCUAAAAUUGAUGCUAUGAAAAUUUGCGUUUUCUGUAACUUGUAAAAACUAAAAGUUGCUUGUCUACUGAAAAGCCUCUCUGCCUCUAUGUUUUAUACCAUCGGAUGCCAACUCCCGGCCUUCUAAGCCACCUCCCCUUUAGGCUAAAACUGAGACAUGAACUUGAAAAAUUGACACUGGCUUCCUCUCUCUUUAGGGUCCCCAGGCAGGUGGCUGGGACACUAUUUGCAAUCAGCAAGGAACCCUGCUGCCCUUAGACUCCCCACAGAGCAAGCAGAACUUGCAGAAUGGGGUAAAAACACUCUAUUAAAGAUUUUUUAAACCUAUUUAUAUUGUAAUAAAGUAAAUGUAAAUAAAAUUUA
rnacentral:lncRNA from 1 species